GAUGAACGCUGACAGAAUGCUUAACACAUGCCAGUCUACUUGAAUUUGGGUUUUUUCACUUAGAUUUGGGUGGCGGACGGGUGAGUAACGCGUAAAGAACUUGCCUCACAGCUAGGGACAACAUUUGGAAACGAAUGCUAAUACCUGAUAUUAUGAUUAUAAGGCAUCUUAGAAUUAUGAAAGCUAUAUGCGCUGUGAGAGAGCUUUGCGUCCCAUUAGCUAGUUGGAGAGGUAACGGCUCACCAAGGCGAUGAUGGGUAGCCGGCCUGAGAGGGUGAACGGCCACAAGGGGACUGAGACACGGCCCUUACUCCUACGGGAGGCAGCAGUGGGGAAUAUUGGACAAUGGACCAAGAGUCUGAUCCAGCAAUUCUGUGUGCACGAUGACGUUUUUCGGAAUGUAAAGUGCUUUCAGUUGGGAAGAAAAAAAUGACGGUACCAACAGAAGAAGUGACGGCUAAAUACGUG
rnacentral:rRNA from 1 species